rnacentral:rRNA from 1 species
AGUGAACGCUGGCGGUAGGCCUAACACAUGCAAGUCGAACGGCAGCACAGUAAGAGCUUGCUCUUACGGGUGGCGAGUGGCGGACGGGUGAGGAAUACAUCGGAAUCUACUUUUUCGUGGGGGAUAACGUAGGGAAACUUACGCUAAUACCGCAUACGACCUACGGGUGAAAGCAGGGGAUCUUCGGACCUUGCGCGAUUGAAUGAGCCGAUGUCGGAUUAGCUAGUUGGCGGGGUAAAGGCCCACCAAGGCGACGAUCCGUAGCUGGUCUGAGAGGAUGAUCAGCCACACUGGAACUGAGACACGGUCCAGACUCCUACGGGAGGCAGCAGUGGGGAAUAUUGGACAAUGGGCGCAAGCCUGAUCCAGCCAUACCGCGUGGGUGAAGAAGGCCUUCGGGUUGUAAAGCCCUUUUGUUGGGAAAGAAAAGCAGCAGGUUAAUACCCCGCUGUUCUGACGGUACCCAAAGAAUAAGCACCGGCUAACUCCGU